UGUGAUAUGUAUGCAUAGCACUUGAGCCCUUGUGCAGUGCAGAAGGUCUAGGCUGGGUGAAUGUCUAAGUUCCUCACCAGCUCCCAGGUGAUGCUGAGGUGCUGGUCCAUGAACCACACACUUUGAGUAGCCA
rnacentral:miRNA from 1 species